AUUGAACGCUGGCGGCAGGCCUAACACAUGCAAGUCGAGCGGCAGCGGAAAGUAGCUUGCUACUUUGCCGGCGAGCGGCGGACGGGUGAGUAAUGUCUGGGAAACUGCCUGAUGGAGGGGGAUAACUACUGGAAACGGUGGCUAAUACCGCAUAACGUCGCAAGACCAAAGUGGGGGACCUUCGGGCCUCACGCCAUCGGAUGUGCCCAGAUGGGAUUAGCUAGUAGGUGGGGUAAUGGC
rnacentral:rRNA from 1 species